rnacentral:lncRNA from 1 species
GCCAUCGAAUAAAAGUACGAAGGUGACAAGAUGGAACUACGACGGCAAUAAAUCCAGCUAAAUGUAAGUUAAUUUUCGCGCUUAAAUACAUUUAAAGUGCCAUGCGCGAUAUGCACUGGUCAGUCUAAUACGACAGUUAAGAAAGACGUUCACAAAACAUGGAGCUCAUAUCAUAUGAUUCUAUGAGAACAAGAAAGGCGACAGCGUUGUUUCUAUUAAUUCAAAUGGAACAAGAAGAGCAGGUAUUACAGGCUCAGGAUUUACUUUUACAAAUAAAAUAUUAUUUUUUGUCAAUUUUUCAUAUCAAAUAACAUAAUGAAAAUCAUAAACGCGCCUCGUAUACCAACACUGCAGGUACACGUAUAUAGGGAAACCAACUUUUUCUUCAUUAUUCUGAUUUUUUAUGCAUCGUCUGAGAUGUUGUCACACGAAUGUUUACUCCAUAAACAUUUUGUUUUCUAUAUGUCAUAUUUUGCCGCAUUUGUUGCUUUCCCCACAUCCUUCCUUUAGUCUAUAUUAUUAUGAUAUUCUCCUGGAAAGAGCUCUUUUUGAAUAAAAGGGAUCAACGAACCCAUUACCUUACCUUUAAGAUAGAUCAGUAAACAUGGGCAUAAUUAUGGGUGAUUAUUCAGACUAGUGCACACAUUUUACAGUUCAAACAAGGCAAUGCCGAGUGUGACAUCCCCUCGUAUGUAACAUAUUGGGGACAAAUAUGGACACUAUAUUUGUAUAUGACACAUGCAGAAAAUGGUAAAUUGAAUACGCAUAUUUGAUACAUAAACUAUUUUUUUAGAAAUCAACCAAAUUAUUCAGUAACUGGAAAUACCCACGGUCUUCCGUCUUAUGAUUAAACCAAAAAUUAAAUGUACAAUAUAAUAUAUAUUCAAUAUUGAUCAAACAAUUUAAAACGCGUGAUGCCUUCGGCAUAUAAUUUAAAUGCAUCGUAAGCUGUACAGACAUCGUAUGGCCAUCGCGCCAUCAUCGUAAUCCAUCGUGUAGCCUUCGUGAUCCAUCUUGUAGGCUUCGGCUGAGAUAUAAAGCUUAAAUACCGUCUUCGGUUAACCUUCGUAUGUCCAUCUUUUGCUAUCGUAUAUACUUUCGGCACCCUCGUAUAGACUUCGUUAUUCAUCGUACUUGCUUCGGUCACUUUUUGGUAUUUUAACGAGAUCGGGACCAACUUCGUACGAACUUACAAUUUUCGCAUUCGGGUGUCCAUCGUAUAUAAAAAUCGGGACAGUGUGACGCGGGCA